GCGGGGGUGGCCGAGUCAGGACAAAGGCGCAGGACUUAAGAUCCAUAGAAACCAAGGGCCGGAUUGGAAAUCCUGUGGCGUAGGCCUUCGUGGGUUCGAAUCCCACCCCCCGCA
rnacentral:tRNA from 1 species